CCUAUGCCUUAAACACCCUAAAUGCACCAAUCCCUGUCUGAUCUUGCAAGCUAAGCAAGGCCAGCCCUGGCUAAUACUUGGAUGGGAGACCACCAACGAAUACCUGGGAUUUAAAGGC
rnacentral:rRNA from 1 species